GGAUCGAACCAGGGUCUCUGGCGCUGUAAGGCAGCAAUCUACCGAUGUGCCACUGUGCUGCUCCCCAUGUU